AAAGUUAGUUUUGGCUUAUAAUUUUUUUUAAUUUUAUUUAAUAAUAUAUAAAUUUUUGUAUAAAUUAUUUAUGUGUAUAAUUUAAAUAUGAUAUGUAUAUAUUUAUAAUUAGUUUAUUUUUUUUUAAUAUUUAAAAUUAAUUUUUAAUGAAAAUUAAAAUUAGUGAAAUAUAAUAAUUGACAAAUUUUGUGCCAGCAGUUGCGGUUAUACAAAAAAUUUUAUAAAUUUAAAAAUUUUAAUAUUUGGGGUAAUUUUAUAUUAAAUUAAUAUAUUAUGUUUAAAUAAAAUUAUAAUUUAUUAUAAUGUUUAAUUUUUUGAAUAUAUUAUUAAAUUUAAAUUUUAAAUUGGGAUUAGAUACCCCAUUAUUUUUAAAUAAAUAAUUAAUAAUUAAGUAGUAAAUUAAAAUAAUUUAAAUUUAAAAAAUAUGGCAGUAUUUUAAUCAAUUUAGAGGAACUUGUAAAUUAAUUGAUAAUACACGAUAAAAUUUACUAAAAAAAAAUUAGCUUAUAUAUUUUUGUUAUAAAAAUAUUUUUAAAUAAAAAAUUUUAGUAUAUAUAUAUAUAUAUAUAUAUAUAUAUCAAAUCAAUAUAUAGUUUAUUUUUUAGAUAUUAUGAGUUAUAAUGAAUUUAUUUUUAGAUAUUGUUAAGAAUUAAUAAUUGAAUUUAGAUUUAAAAGUAAUUUUAUUAAUUUAUUUAUGUUGAAAAAGUUUUAAAAUAUGUACAUAUUGCCCGUCAUUUUUAUAUAUAAAAAAAGUCGUAACAAAGUUAGAGUAUUGGAAAAUGUUCUUUGAA
rnacentral:rRNA from 1 species